rnacentral:tRNA from 1 species
CGGGCGUUGAGCAUCUGGAAGGCCGAUGUCAUCUGGGGCCCAUCCAGAUAGCCCUGGUUCCACAUCAGGGCGUCCAGC